CAAGUCGAACGAGUUGCGCCUAAUGAUAGUUGAUGCUUGCAUUAGCUUGACUUAAGUUAGCAGCGAGUGGCGAACUGGUGAGUAACACGUGGAUAACCUGCCCAGAAGAAGGGGAUAACACCUGGAAACAGAUGCUAAUACCGUAUAACAACGAAAACCACAUGGUUUUCGUUUGAAAGAUGGCCUUUGUGCUAUCGCUUUUGGAUGGAUCCGCGGCGCAUUAGCUAGUUGGUGAGAUAAAGGCUCACCAAGGCAAUGAUGCGUAGCCGACCUGAGAGGGUAAUCGGCCACAUUGGGACUGAGACACGGCCCAGACUCCUACGGGAGGCAGCAGUAGGGAAUCUUCCACAAUGGACGAAAGUCUGAUGGAGCAAUGCCGCGUGAGUGAAGAAGGGUUUCGGCUCGUAAAACUCUGUUGUUAGAGAAGAACGGGCGUGAGAGUAACUGCUCACGUCGCGACGGUAUCUAACCAGAAAGUCACGGCUAACUACGUG
rnacentral:rRNA from 1 species